UUUCUAGGGGUACUAUCAUUUUUGUCCAGGCCAGUUUCAUUAGUUUUUUUUUUAUUAUUAUUCUGUUGAACCACAAUCCAAAAGCAAUGAAUGAUUUUCAUUGGCUGAUUUUCAGUAAUUUGUUUAUUUAUUACUACUUUUGUCAGUUUCAAGUUAUUUCAUGAUCAUGUUUAUGUAC